rnacentral:rRNA from 1 species
AAACUUUCAACAACGGAUCUCUUGGUUCUGGCAUCGAUGAAGAACGCAGCGAAAUGCGAUAAGUAAUGCGAAUUGCAGAAUUUCGUGAGUCAUUGAAUCUUUGAACGCACAUUGCGCCCUUUGGUAUUCCGAAGGGCAUGCCUGUUCGAGCGUCAUUUA